UAGCUGUGAACACCAACCCAGGCGUG
rnacentral:piRNA from 1 species